GGACAAUUGGAAGAGACAAACCUUUAGUUGAUAAAAACAAGGCCCUGAAGACGUGGCUAUUCCAGCAAGCCUUUGAGGUCAUUGGAAAACCACAGGGAAGGGGGAAUGGAAUGGAGUAUCUGGCAUGGCAAAGAAGGGAUGGUCCAAGCCUCAGCCGAAGACACUCCUGCCAUCCUGGGUCAAGGUGCCUAGUUUCCAAGAAAUCCCUGCUUCAGUUCAAGGACCUUCAGAGAGAUCCUGCUGCAACUCGGAAAACCAAUAUAUUUGUCCCAAAGUGGCCCUGAUCCAGUUCUUGAACUGGGGUUUGUUCAAAUAUUUUGCACACCCAUAAUAUAUGAUGGAUUGAUACAGCUGCCUGCAUUCUUCAACUCUCUUUGGAGGCAGAGAUAUGAGCUUCACUGUUUCAAAAUUUUACCGCUGCACCACUGGUGAUAACUGUACCCAACCUCUGGAACUGCUUUGUGGAAGCCCAUCUGGCUCCUUCACCUUUUCAGCAUGCUGUGAAGACAAUAUUGUUUAAUAUUGUUUAGGCUUUUAAGAGUGUGAUGAAUUGAAUAUGUCCCAAUGUUGCUUAUUUGAAUGUUCUCUCUGCAAGAGCUGCUCAUUAGGAUUUCUGCUGUUUCUAUUAUGAUUUUUUUCCCACUACUGAGAUAUUUUAGUGCAUUUUCAUUUUUUAAAUAUUCUGUU